rnacentral:rRNA from 1 species
AGUGAACGCUGGCGGUAGGCCUAACACAUGCAAGUCGAACGGCAGCACAGUAAGAGCUUGCUCUUACGGGUGGCGAGUGGCGGACGGGUGAGGAAUACAUCGGAAUCUACUUUUUCGUGGGGGAUAACGUAGGGAAACUUACGCUAAUACCGCAUACGACCUACGGGUGAAAGCAGGGGAUCUUCGGACCUUGCGCGAUUGAAUGAGCCGAUGUCGGAUUAGCUAGUUGGCGGGGUAAAGGCCCACCAAGGCAACGAUCCGGAGCUGGGCUGAGAGGAUGAGCAGCAACUCUGGAAGUUAUACACGGGCCGGCCUCCAAGAGGAGGCGGCGGUAGGGAUGAUUCAGCAAUGAGCGCGAGCCAAAAACAGCGUUAACACGUGGUGAAAGAAGGUCUUCGGGUAGUAAACGUCUUUUGUUGGGAAAGAAAAGCCGGCAGCUUAUACCAGGCUGUAAUGACGAUAGCAAAGGAGUAAGCACCGGCUAACUACGUG